rnacentral:rRNA from 1 species
GUGAGGAAUUUUCCGCAAUGGGCGAAAGCCUGACGGAGCAAUGCCGCGUGAAGGAUGAAGGCCUAUGGGUUGUAAACUUCUUUUCUUAGAGAAGAAUAUUGACGGUAUCUGAGGAAUAAGCAUCGGCUAACUCUGUGCCAGCAGCCGCGGUAAGACAGAGGAUGCAAGCGUUAUCCGGAAUGAUUGGGCGUAAAGCGUCUGUAGGUGGCUUCAAAAGUCUCCUGUCAAAGAUCAGGGCUUAACCCUGGGCCGGCAGGAGAAACUCUGAGGCUAGAGUUUGGUAGGGGCAGAGGGAAUUCCCUGUGGAGCGGUGAAAUGCGUAGAGAUCGCGAGGAACACCAAAGGCGAAAGCACUCUGCUGGGCCACAACUGACACUGAGAGACGAAAGCGAGGGGAGCGAAAGGGAUUAGAUACCCCAGUAGUCC